rnacentral:rRNA from 1 species
GCUCAGAAUGAACGCUGGCGGCAUGCCUAACACAUGCAAGUCGAACGAGACCUUCGGGUCUAGUGGCGCACGGGUGCGUAACGCGUGGGAAUCUGCCCCUCGGUUCGGAAUAACAGUUGGAAACGACUGCUAAUACCGGAUGAUGACGUAAGUCCAAAGAUUUAUCGCCGAGGGAUGAGCCCGCGUAGGAUUAGCUAGUUGGUGUGGUAAAAGCGCACCAAGGCGACGAUCCUUAGCUGGUCUGAGAGGAUGAUCAGCCACACUGGGACUGAGACACGGCCCAGACUCCUACGGGAGGCAGCAGUGGGGAAUAUUGGACAAUGGGCGAAAGCCUGAUCCAGCAAUGCCGCGUGAGUGAUGAAGGCCUUAGGGUUGUAAAGCUCUUUUACCCGGGAAGAUAAUG